AAGCAUGGGUAGAUGAAAUAUGAGUUGGAUGAUGAGUUGAGAGGUGAUAUAGACCAUGAGGUAAGGGUGAGAGGUGGACGAUGUGAGAAACCUUGUUCUCAAAUGUUGGCCCCGUCAUCUAGCAGAGUAUGGAUGACAACCACGGACUAUUCUAGACACUCCAGUGGAACACUAGCAAGCUCGCAACAUNUGUUGUCUAUGCUAACUUAGUGCCUAUACCGUGGCGAUCAUGCAGACUUGAUGCCUAAACCCUGGUGACCAUGCAUACUUGGUGCCUAAACCCUGGCGACUAUGCAGAUUUAGUGCCUAUUGUGUAAACCGUGGCAACGAUGGACUUCGUGCUGAUUCCUUAGGAUGAUCCUUAGGAAUAAAUGAAGUAGGAAUAGCUGAUUCUUAGGGUAGAUUCUUAAGAGUAAAGAAGAUAAUGGGGAUGGGUAAUUGGGUUGUCUGUUUGAUGAUUAAGCAUAAUAAUUAUAUUAUUGUGGGUUGAAAACCCUGUGUACUCACCAGGUUUCCCAACCCGACCCAUGCAGUUUAUUUAUAUCACAGGUGUUGAUAUGAAGUCACUUUACACUGAGAGAUUAAGGAGAUAUAAAUCACUAGUGAUAAUGAAUGUAAGUUCUGUUUAUGCUUAUGUUUCUGUAUUGACGAUGACAUCCCAAAUGUUUUAAAAUGAAUAAAAAUACUUUUCUUCGGAAAUGCUUUGAUAACGUAUUUAUCAUGUUUUACUGGGAACAAAUUCCGCAACAUUUUUAUUAAAAGAGGUACUCUGAUUUUUAUAAAGCAUAAACAAAACCGGUCUUUCCUGUCCGUGAGUAUGGGGAUGUCAAAGUUGGUAUCAGAGCAUUAGUUUUAGAGAACUAGGAAUAUGGAAUUAUUUCUAGACUUAAACUUAGAAUGCUAAGCAAUGAUUGUGAGUAGUGUGUCUUAGGUAAUACACCUGAAUAGACACAAGCACUAGCUUAUUUAGGGAAAAUGCCUAACAUGCUUUUAUGUGAUAAAGGCUUUAUGAUGCUAAAUGUAUGAUCAGAUCUAUGGUUGUUGCCGACCGGAUCUGGAAACUUUACGUGUUCAGACUUCUAAACGAUUAAUUACAGUGUUAGAACUGGCAUGUAACUUUUCGGACUAAUAGGGAGAUUUACACGUCGAUCGUAAAUAAAAUGUUUGUUAUCUUAAUUAUCGUCAUUACAUAGCGAACAUCUGAAUUGGUGUAUAGAUCGAAAUGGCAAGAACCCGAAGUGGAGUCGGGAACGCAAAUGGAAAUAGGAAUCAACAGCCCCUAGUGAUUGAACAAAUACCUGUUGUAGUAGAAGCUACACCUGAACCAAUCACCAUGGCUAGAGUACAAGCCAUGAGCCGGGCUAUGUUAGUUGAACAAAGGGAAGAAAUGAGGAGGAUGUUGCAUGCAAAUAGGCACGAACCUACCAUGCAUAUUGAGCAACCUGAGCUGAUCCCCAAGCAAUCGGAGGAAGGAAACUACACCCGUAAUUUGAGUCAAGUUGGGACUCAAGGAGAACGCAGGAAUGGCCCGGAAAGGGGAAACAACAAGUAUGGAUGAAUGUAUAAGAACUUCUUGGGUGCGAAGCCACCAAGCCUUUCCGGAAGCCCGAAGCCGGUUGAUAUUAUGGACUGGAUCUCUGAAAUGGAGAUGGUGUUUGAGAGUUGUAACUGUAGCGACAGGCAAAAGACCGUCUUUAUGGUUAGAAACCUAAAGAAUGAAGUGCUAAGUUAGUGGAAGUUGUUGGUAGGUACAAUGCCACGAGGAGAAGCCAUGCGAAUGUCUCGGGAAGCAUUCGUGGAGCAAUUGAAAAUGCAAUACUGCUCAGAGAUAGAUCUGAUAGACAUAAACAACGAAUUUCAGAACCUAAAGAAAGGAAAAAUGAGUGUGGAUGAGUAUGCCACCACAUUCACCGAGAGGAUGAAGCUAUUCCCCUACUUGGUGCCUACUGAACUCUCCAAGAUCGAUAGGUUUGCUUACGGACUGCCCACAGACUUUGGCCCAACAGUCAAAAUGGCAACUACCUUGAAAACAGUCGUUAGAGCAGCCAAGAAUGUUGAGACCCAUAUUAGGGAAAAGGGUCUGGAGAGAGCUGAAGUUGGCGAGAAAAGGAAGUAUGAAGGAUCUUCAAAAUCCAACAAAGAAAGGAAAUUCUCAAAGACUGAAGGAGGAGGAGGUGAAGCUAAGUGGUGCGAGAAGUGUAAUAAGAAACACUUUGGGAAAUGUAGCGAAGAUGUGACUUGCUACAAAUGUGGAAAGACAGGGCAUUACGCCAGCAAGUGUACAUCCAACAAGAAGGUGUGCUACAAAUGUAACAAAGAAGGGCACAUUUCUAAAGACUGCCCGAAGAAAAACGAAGCGGCAAGGCCAGAAACGCCACCAAGGCCAAGGACAUUCCACAUGAUCCUCGACGAAGCAGAAAACAACGCAAGGAAUCAAGGAUGAGGAAGUCAUACCCGAAGGUUGAGUUAUGAAGUAGCCAAGAGAAUAGUAUCUUGAGAUGUAGCCUAUUAUAAGCAUAGUCUAGGGUGAACUUGAACACCUAUGUAAUUGUUUCAAUAAAUAAUAUAAACCUUCAUUUUGUUAUUUGAUGUGUUGAAUGAUUAUUUGAUUUUCCUGUAUGGUGACUUGGAUAAACUGCGAGACAAUACUUGGGACGGGUAUGAGUAGAUGUGAAUGGUAGUAGAGGCCUAUACUACCGGAAGCACAUGACUCACGCUUGGAUCAGGGAAAGUCACAAGGUUACCAAGAAGCUAGUAAUUGAUACCGUUUUAUUCAAAUAUGUCAUUACCAUCAUUUCGGUAAUAACUAAGAAGAUGAUUGUUAUUCCGACCCGAGUGGUCAUAUCGAAUUGAGUCCGACUACGAUGAGUAUGUUACGUGGUUCAGAGAACCAAGUUUUAUGUAGCAUCUGACUUAAUCCAGAAGAUUGAAACAAAAGAUAAUCAAAGAGAUCGGUAGAGGUAUCGUGAUAGUUUCUUGUAGCUAGAAAUGCUACCUUUAAGAUGAGAUUAGAACAUGAAGGAAACUAUAGUCUGUUCUGGAAGACUCUAAGAGACUUGAGUCUAAGCAUUGCAACAUACGAUGAUAGGUCAUUAGAAUAUGACACAUCGUUCCAUUGUAGUAAUAAAAGAACUUAUCUUAAGUUCGUAUCCAGUCAGGAUUGAGAUUGUGACUUGAAUGUCAUAAUUUGGAGUCUAACGUGAGAUAGGGAGCAAGUGCAAGAUCGAGCACCGCCUACACUCAAGGAGUCUAAGAGUUAGAUACUCAUUUGAAGAAACAAAGAAGUUACGAUUAUUACCUAGGAUGAAGAGAUAACAUAUGGAAUCAUUAUAAUGCCCUAUUUCGUUGAUGAUUCCGAGACGUAAUCAUCCUAAGGGGGAGAUAAUUGUAAUGCCCGCAGAUCCGGGCUAGUCAAUUUAGAGACAAUAAGCAUCAAAAAUGAGUUUUUGAUGGAAGAUUAUUUAGAGGGAUUAAUCUUAACCAAGUUUUAGUAUAUGUUACAAAGGUUCAAUACAUAUAAAGAACGUAGAAAUCCGAGUUAUAACGAAGAAGUUAUGACCCGUCGAAGUUUUUCGGCAAAACCGGCACGGCGCCAGGAGACGUGAAUAGUAAAUUUACGAUAGAUGACUUUUUAGCCUUAGAUAUCUAAAAAAAAUUCAUAGUGUUCGUUAAACCGAGAGUGUCCAUAAAAAGAACGCCCAAAUCUGACUUCAUAUGAGGAAGUUAUGAUUUUUCAAAGUUUCGUAAUAGCAGUGUACAGUCCGAAAUUUGAAUAUUAGAUCGAGCAGUUUUUAGCUGACAAAACCUAAACGAGAAUAAAAAACGGACGAAAACGGACGUCGUUAAUAGUAGCGUAAUGAUAAAAAGACAGACGAAAACGGACGUCAGAUUAAGGAGUUAUGAAUUUUUAACGAAUCAAUCCUGUCCCGGACUGUUAAAAAUAUAACUUUAAAAAUAAAGCCAAAAUUAGCCGACGGAGUCUAAACGAAAGUUGUGGAUCAUGUUGCCGCCUACGCGUGGAUAUAAAGAACGUCAAAAACGGAGCUCGUAUGCGAAAGUUACGGAUUUAUAAGAUAAUUAGUUUUUGGAGUAAUCUGCGAGUGACACGUGAUACAAUCUGGGCCACACCUUCUUCCCCACAGCUUUGCAUAAGAUUGCGACACGUGGCACAUUACGCCCAGCGUAACUUUGAGUACACUUAGCGUAACCCUUAAAACCCCAUUACGCUCAGCGUAACUUUUGAGUACGCUCAGCGUACUUGGUGCUGACAGCCUAUAUAUAGAGGCGUUUUUCCUCAAUUUUCUUCACACCUUUUCUCAACUUCUCUCCCAAACACCCCCAAAGCCUCAAGGCUUUUCUAUAGCCUUUCUUAGGAGUUAGUAGUGAGUCCUGAAGCGCCAGAAGGUCCCGAGAAGAAGAGAUUUCGGCUCAGAAGUUUUGUCCGCGCAGAGUCCGGUUAUUCGCUAAGCCCCAAUAUAAGUGAGUUAUGCUUAUCCUACUUUAAGUAUAGCUUACGAUUAAUAUUAGUAUUGUUAUUAGGACCUUAUAAUAAAUAUUUGGGCUAUUAUCAUCAAUUAUAUAAGUGUCGUUAUAAUAUCUUUUUAAUUACUCACGGUACGAGGAAUCUGGUUUAAAGGGCCGCAUAGGGUUGUUGGAUUUCAGAAGGGCUAUAUGCCAAAAUGGUCAUGCCCUCCGGUGUUUUAUGUCUGGCCCCUGUCUAUAGAUAGUGGGUGAAGAGUAUUGUUUAACGCUUACAUAAUAGUAAUAAUAGCUAGACUAUUAAUUAGUCUCGUCAAACAUUAGACUAAACUCUAGUGGUAAUGAUAAUAGGUUUUGUCCGAGGGAAAUUGUUUUAACAGUAACAAAGUGUUGUCCGAGUGCCGAGUCACCACCUUUUCAAGUGAGUGCAUGGUCUAUUUCAUCUUACACAUAGAUAUGAAAUAUUUUAUAUAAACUACGUGCUAUGUGUACAUAUGAUCUGUAUAAUUGUUAUCUAUGCUGGAUGAACGAUUUUAUACAAGUUUUAUAUGAUUUAAAUGUAUAUGUAUUUAUAUCUACAUAAUAUGUUGGGUAAAACAUAGGUAGAUGAAAUAUGAGUUGGAUGAUGAGUUGAGAGGUGAUAUAGACCAUGAGGUAAGGGUGAGAGGUGGACGAUGUGAGAAUCCUUGUUCCCAAAUGUUGGCCCCGUCAUCUAGCAGAGUAUGGAUGACAACCACGGAUUAUUCUAGACACUCCAGUGGAACACUAGCAGGCUCGCAACCUGUAGGUGUUGUGAACGAUGUAUUCACCCGGUGUACUCUAAACAUUGGCGAUCAUGCAAACUUGAUGCCUAAACCCUGGUGACUAUGCAGACUUAGUGCCUAAACCUUGGCGAUCAUGCAGACUUGAUGCCUAAACCCUGGUGACCAUGAAGACUUGGUGCCUAAACCCUGGCGACUAUGCAGACUUAGUGCCUGUUGUGUAAAACGUGGCAAUGAUGGACUUCGUGUUGAUUCCUUAGGAUGAGCCUUAGGAAUAAAUGAACAAGGAAUAACUUAUUCUUAGGGUAGAUUCUUAAGAGUAAAGAAGAUAAUGGGGAUGGGUAAUUGGGUUGUCUGUUUGAUGAUUAAACAUAAUAAUUAUAUUAUUAUGGGUUGAAAACCCUGUGUACUCAUCCGGUUUCCCAACCUGACCCACUUAGUUUAUUUAUAUCACAGGUGUUGAUAUGAAGUCACAUUACACUGAGAGAUUAAGGAGAUAUAAAUCACUAGUGAUAAUGAAUGUAAGUUCUGUUUAUGCUUAUGUUUCUGUAUUGAUGAUGACAUUCCAAAUGUUUUAAAAUGAAUAAAAAUACUUUUCUUUGGAAAUACUUUGAUAACGUAUUUAUCAUGUUUUACUGGGAACAAAUUCCGCAAUAUUUUUAUUAAAAG
rnacentral:lncRNA from 1 species